CCUUCUAGCAAUUAGAUCCUCCUCUAUGCAUAAAAUGGGGACAAAAGAGUUUAAUUAAAAUUUGCGACUCCCCGCUUACCUCCAUAAUGCUUUACCCAUUCAUAGAUGACAUGUGUUUUGAUGAAAUGCUAAAAGACUGCACUCAUCUUAGUUGUCAUGGUUCCACAAUCCCUUAGCCUCACCAGUUGCCAUCAGUCAUCAAACGUUUCUAAUUUUUAUUUAUUAAUUAAACUAAACUCGAAGU
rnacentral:lncRNA from 1 species